UAAUUAUUGUCUGAGUGGAAAUUCAUUGGUGCAAAGGCGUGUAACUAGCACGAUAUCAUUAUCCAGGGAAGUGUUCAUUAUUCAUUGAACACGAUCUGAGGGAUUGGCAGUGUUAACAAGAGGUUGUAGUGUUAACCAUUAGGUAGGCCGAAUAGGGAUGACCACGAUGUUAACAUUUUGAGUAAUUAAAGACCUUAGGAGAAGUCAAAAGUUUUGUGUUCUGGGGGGAAUAUGGAGGAAAGGCGGAAAGUGAAACAACAGGAGGGAAGCGCACCACCAGGAUUGAGGCGUCCGGGUUAAACUCACUCCACCCAGAGAAACCCACCAAGCCCAGAUUCAAAAAUGAUUGUCAGUUUCUGAGCUGGUUGGGGAUGGGGAAUUUGGGGGCGCGGGGCCGUUCUUAGAUGUGGGAGCGAUUUGUCAGGUUACCUGUGAUAACGAAAGAGCCCGGAUCCCCGUAACCAGUCGGGGUCAUUUUAGGGGGUCAUUCGGCUCUUGAAGGGAGAAUGGGCAGACACUGAAAGGAAUCUGAGGCAGUAACAGGUCAGUGAAUUCGAGAAGGUUCUGGGAUGCAGGCGAGCGCCGAAACCCAUCGGUUUUUUAUUUUUUCUAAUGCACCCCUUCUGGAAGGCGGGGCUUAGAGUCAGUUAUAAGGUGGAGAAUGCACACAGUAAUCCAUGUAAAAAGGGGACAUCAAAGUAAGUGUAAGUCAUCCGCUCCCCCUGACACACACACACACACAGUACACGC
rnacentral:rRNA from 1 species